rnacentral:rRNA from 1 species
GACGAACGCUGGCGGCGUGCUUAACACAUGCAAGUCGAACGAAGAGCGAUGGAAGCUUGCUUCUAUCAAUCUUAGUGGCGAACGGGUGAGUAACGCGUAAUCAACCUGCCCUUCAGAGGGGGACAACAGUUGGAAACGACUGCUAAUACCGCAUACGAUCUAAUCUCGGCAUCGAGGAUAGAUGAAAGGUGGCCUCUACAUGUAAGCUAUCACUGAAGGAGGGGAUUGCGUCUGAUUAGCUAGUUGGAGGGGUAACGGCCCACCAAGGUGAUGAUCAGUAGCCGGUCUGAGAGGAUGAACGGCCACAUUGGGACUGAGACACGGCCCAGACUCCUACGGGAGGCAGCAGUGGGGAAUCUUCCGCAAUGGACGAAAGUCUGACGGAGCAACGCCGCGUGAGUGAUGACGGCCUUCGGGUUGUAAAGCUCUGUUAAUCGGGACGAAAGGCCUUCUUGCGAAUAGUUAGAAGGA